GGGAAAUCUUACCGGGUCCGGACAUACUGAGGAUUGACAGGUGCAAAAAUGUAAUUUUAUAUUAAUAAUUUAUUUUAUUAUUAUAAUAUUUAUGUUAUCAAAUAUGCUAGUCCUUUCAUGAUUGUGUGAUAGGUGGUGCAUGGCCGUUCUUAGUUCGUGGAGUGAUCUGUCUGCUUAAUUGCGUUUCAUUUUAGCUCCAAAUAGACUUUUCUAUUAUAUUAGCCUUAAUACUUUAAGUGAAUCAAAUUUAAUUUAUUUUUUAUUAAUUUUAUAUAUUAUUAUAUAUUUAAUUAUAUAAAAGAUAUUUUAUAUAUAUUUGUGAAAAUUUUAAAGUUAAGGAUUUAAUAUAAAGUAAAAGCUGGAGCCUGAAGGCAACGA
rnacentral:rRNA from 1 species